GCGGGCUUUCCAUUCAACCCGUCUUGAAACACGGACCAAGGAGUCUAACAUGUGUGCAAGUCGAUGGGUCUGUAAACCUGCAAGGCAUAAGGACGCUGACGGACAAGAUCCCCUCUCCAUGGGGUGCAUUGUCGACCGACCUUGAGCUUGUGCAAAGGGUUCGAGUGCAAGCACCCCUGUUGGGACCUGAAAGAUCGUGAACUAUGCCUGAGCGGGGCGAAGCCAGAGGAAACUAUGGUGGAGGCUCGUAGCAUAUUGACGUGCAAAUCGUUCGUCUGACUUGGGUAUAGGGGCGAAAGACUAAUCGAACCAUCUAGUAGCUGGUUUCCUCCGAAGUUUCCCUCAGGAUAGUUGGAGCUCAUGUGCGAGUUUUAUUGGGUAAAGCAAAUGAUUAGAGGCAUCGGAGGCAUAAUGCCCUCGACUUAUUCUCAAACUUUAAAUAGGUAAGACGAUGCGGUUGCUCCAUUGAGUCGUGCCACAGAAUCAAGAGCUCCAAGUGGGCCAUUUUUGGUAAGCAAAACUGGCAAUGCGGGAUGAACCGAAAGUCAAGUUACGGUGCCAAACUGCAUGCUAACCCAAAUCCCAAAAAGGGUGUUGGUUGAUUAAGACAGCAGGACGGUAGUCAUGCAAGUCGAAAUCCGCUAAGGAGUGUAACAACUCGCCCGCCAAAUCAACUAGCCCUAAAAAUGGAUGGUGCUAAAGCACGCGACCUAUACUCGACCAUCGGAGCAAUUGCUAGGCUUCGAUGAGUAGGAGGAUGCGGGGGUCGUUGAGAAACCUUGGGCGUGAGCCUGGGUGGACCAGUCCCCGGUGCAGAUCUUGGUGGUAUUGGCAAAUAUUCAAAUGAGAACUUUGAAGACUGAAGUGGGGAAAGGUUCCAUGUGAACAGCGCUUGGACAUGGGUUAGUUGAUCCUAAGAGAUGUGGAAGCCCUGUAUCAAUGGUGCACUCUACACGAACAUCGAAAGGGAAUCGGGUUAAUAUUCAAAAAAUCGGGACAUGGCGGAAAACGGCAACGUUAGGAAAUCCAGAGACGUCGUCGGGGGCCUCGGGAAGAGUUAUCUUUUCUUUUUAACAGCUUGCCCACCCUGAAAUCGGCUAAACCGAAGAUAGGGUCCAGCAGUUGGAAGAGCAUCGCACGUCUUGUGGUGUCUGGUGCGCCCUCGACGGCCCUUGAAAAUCUGGAGGACCAAGUACCGUUCAUGCCCGAUCGUACUCAUAACCGCAUCAGGUCUCCAAGGUGAACAACCUCUGGUCAAUAGAACAAUGUAAGUAAGGAAAGUCAGCAAAAUGGAUCUGUAACUUCGGGAAAAGGAUUGGCUCUCAGCGUUGGGCCUAGGGUCUGCGUCCUCAACCUGUGGGUUAUCGACAGUCUGCCCGAGCUGUUAUCGUGGCGACGACAGGCAAUCCUGUGUCGAUUGGGCUACAGACGUAGAAUGUCCCCUCACGGGGGCUUUUCCCUAGGCGGCGAACAAUCGACUCAGAACUGGUACGGACAAGGGGAAUCCGACUGUUUAAUUAAAACAAAGCAUUGUGAUGGUCCCUGCAGAUGCUGACGCGAUGUGAUUUUUAAGUGCUCUGAAUGCCAAAGUGAAGAAAUUCAACCAAGCGCGAGUAAACAGCGAGAAUAACUAUGACUCUCUUAAGGUAGCCAAAUGCCUCGUCGUCUAAUUAGUGACGUGCAUGAAUGGAUUAAUGAGAUUCCCACUGUCCCUAUCUACUAUCUAGUGAAACCACAGCCAAGGGAAUGGGCUUGGCAGAAUCAACGGGGAAAGAAGACCCUGUUGAGCUUGACUCUAGUGUAACUUUGUGAAAUGACUUGAGAGGUGUAGAAUAAGUGGGAGCCAUUUUCGACGCAAGUGAAAUACCACUACUUUUAACGUUAUUUUACUUAUUCAAUGGGGCGAAGACGGGGCAUCGCCCCUGUUUUUGGCCUUAAGACACAUUUCGACGGGUCGAUCCGGGCGGAAGACAUUGUCAAGUGGGGAGUUUGGUUGGGGCGACACAUCUGUUAAAACAUAAUGCAAGUGUCCUAAGAUGAGCUCAACGAGAA
rfam:Picea glauca, whole genome shotgun sequence.